CAGGUUUUGGUUGACAUGGAGGGUUUAAAGGAAGGAGGAUGGAGGAGAAUGCCACCAAAGAUAAGGAAAGAGAUGUUUGCACAACAGAGGACAAACAUUUCCUAUAUGACCAUUUUGCCAAGGGACAAUCUGGUCUCCAUAGAAGCUUUCAUUUCAUGAAGUCUUAUGAAGAGGCGGCAUCAAGAAUUUCAGUCAGGGUUCUUCAGAGAAACAAAACUAGAAACAGAACAGAUAAAUCCAUAUCUAUAUCCAUCUGUAUCUAGAGCUAUAUUAAGAGACUUACUAUAAGGAAUCCCUCACGUGCCUGAGGAGGCUGAGUCCCAGGAUCUGCCGUCAGCAUGCUGGAGACCUAGGAGAGCCGGUGGCGUAAGGGCCAGUCCCAGUAAGAAGGACUGAGAACCAGGAGGGCCGACGAUCCCAUGAUCUAUGACCAUGCUAACCUGCCUGGAACCCUAAACUCCCAGAACGUGGAAAUCUCCCAGAACUUGCCUUGAGAGUGAGCAACCUAGUGUAGUUUAAGAUUGCUUAUUUGAGGAGUGAUGUCGGUGACAUGAUGGAGUGAGCUCACCUGGGACUUUCUCCCCUCCAAAUUACAACCAAAAGG
rnacentral:lncRNA from 1 species